GACGGACGCUGGCGGCGUGCUUAACACAUGCAAGUCGAGCGAGAAACCUUCGGGUUUCUAGCGGCGGACGGGUGAGUAACACGUGGGUAACCUGCCUCAAAGAGGGGGAUAGCCUUCCGAAAGGAAGAUUAAUACCGCAUAAUAUUACAGUUUCGCAUGAAGCAGUAAUUAAAGGAGUAAUCCGCUUUGAGAUGGACCCGCGGCGCAUUAGCUAGUUGGAGAGGUAACGGCUCACCAAGGCAACGAUGCGUAGCCGACCUGAGAGGGUGAUCGGCCACAUUGGAACUGAGACACGGUCCAGACUCCUACGGGAGGCAGCAGUGGGGAAUAUUGCACAAUGGGCGAAAGCCUGAUGCAGCAACGCCGCGUGAGUGAUGAAGGUCUUCGGAUUGUAAAGCUCUGUCUUUUGGGACGAUAAUGACGGUACCAAAGGAGGAAGCCACGGCUAACUACGUGCCAGCCGCCGCAGUAACAC
rnacentral:rRNA from 1 species